rnacentral:rRNA from 1 species
AUUGAACGCUGGCGGCAUGCCUUACACAUGCAAGUCGAACGGCAGCGGGGGAGAAGCUUGCUUUUCCUGCCGGCGAGUGGCGAACGGGUGAGUAAUACAUCGGAACGUGCCCUGUAGUGGGGGAUAACUAGUCGAAAGAUUAGCUAAUACCGCAUACGACCUGAGGGGGAAAGUGGGGGACCGCAAGGCCUCAUGCUAUAGGAGCGGCCGAUGUCUGAUUAGCUAGUUGGUGGGGUAAAGGCCUACCAAGGCGACGAUAAGUAGCUGGUCUGAGAGAACGAUCAGCCACACUGGGACUGAGACACGGCCCAGACUCCUACGGGAGGCAGCAGUGGGGAAUUUUGGACAAUGGGCGAAAGCCUGAUCCAGCAAUGCCGCGUGUGUGAAGAAGGCCUUCGGGUUGUAAAGCACUUUUGUCCGGAAAGAAAUGGCUCUGGUUAAUACCUGGGGUCGAUGACGGUACCGGAAGAAUAAGGACCGGCUAACUACGUGCCAGCCGCCGCAGUAA